rnacentral:rRNA from 1 species
UACAGAGGGUGCAAGCGUUAAUCGGAAUUACUGGGCGUAAAGCGUGCGUAGACGGUUAUUUAAGUCAGGUGUGAAAGCCCAGGGCUCAACCUUGGAAUUGCAUUUGAGACUGAAUAGCUAGGGUGCGGAAGAGGGAAGCGGAAUUUCCGGUGUAGCGGUGAAAUGCGUAGAUAUCGUAAGGAAGACCAGUGGCGAAGGCGGGUCUCUGGACAGUUCCUGACGCUUAGGCACGAAGGCCAGGGGAGCAAACGGG